rnacentral:rRNA from 1 species
UACGUAGGUGACCAGCGUUGUCCGGAUUUACUGGGCGUAAAGAGCGCGCAGGCGGUCGUUCAAGUCGAGUGUGAAAGCCCCCGGCUCAACUGGGGAGGGUCAUUCGAUACUGAUCGACUUGAAGGCAGGAGAGGGAAGCGGAAUUCCCGGUGUAGUGGUGAAAUGCGUAGAUAUCGGGAGGAACACCCGUGGCGAAGGCGGCUCUCUGGGACGGUACUGACGCUGAGACGCGAAAGCGUGGGGAGCGAACAGG